UAACGAAUCUUCCGCAAUGCGCGAAAGCGUGACGGAGCAAUGCCGCGUGCAGGAUGAAGGCCUUCGGGUUGUAAACUGCUGUCAGGGUUUAGGAAGAAAGUGACCAAACCCAAAGGAAGGGCCGGCUAACUUCGUGCCAGCAGCCGCGGUAAUACGAAGGGCCCGAGCGUUAAUCGGAAUCACUGGGCUUAAAGCGUACGCAGGUGGACGUGCAGGCAUCUUGUGAAAUCCCUCCGCUCAACGGAGGAACUGCUUGGUGAACCGCAUGUCUUGAGACAAGUAGGGGCUGUCGGAACGAUAGGUGGAGUGGUGAAAUGCGUUGAUAUCUAUCGGAACGCCGAAGGAGAAAUCAGGCAGCUGGGCUUGUUCUGACACUCAUGUACGAAAGCGUGGGUAGCGAACGGGAUUAGAUACCCCGGUAGUCCACGCCGUAAACGAUGUGCACUAGAUCGAGGGAGUUCUGACACUGCUCUCGGUCGAAGCGAAAGUU
rnacentral:rRNA from 1 species